UUUCCGUAGGUGAACCUGCGGAAGGAUCAUUAUUGUAUAACCGAGGUGCGAGGGCUGUCGCUGACCCGAAAGGUCGUGCACGCCCGAGUGCCCUCACACACAUCCAUCUCACCCCUAUGUGCACCACCGCGUGGGCACCCUUCGGGAUCAUCUCGGAGGGGGGCUCGCGUUUUCACACAAACCCCCCUUUUAAAAGUGUAGAAUGACCACAUUUAUGCAAUCAAUACAACUUUCAACAACGGAUCUCUUGGCUCUC
rnacentral:misc_RNA from 1 species